rnacentral:lncRNA from 1 species
CAGGUACACAGCGACAUUGGGGCGGUAUUUCGAAAAUGUAUGAGGGGCGAGGAGGAGCUAGAUGCAUCAAAUAAUGGAAAAAUCACGAACUUUAGGCGAUGUACGACAUUUGGGGACAAGUGGGAACUAAGAUGGAUAAUUUAAACUGCUCGGAGCGGAUGACUGCUGUAAUUCAAGGGGAGUACGGCGUACCCUUGAGAACAAGGCGUGUCCCUUGGAACACGACAUGUUCAUCAAGGACACGGUCGUGUCCUUUUCUCUGGAAGUCACGGUCGAGAAGCGCUAUACCAAGAACACGUCUGUAUCCUUCUUGGACACGGCGUCCUAGACGGUUUUUCUAAACAAUUUUCCUCCUCAAAUUGGGAUAGACGAUAUAAAUACCCUGGUUCUCUCUCAUUCCAGGACAGACCCUUUUGGACGAUAAUUAGAGAAUAGUUCAG